CCGCGAGAUCGUGACCUGAGCCGAAGUCGGACGUCCAACCGACUGAGCCACCCAGGCGCCCCAGUCCUUCAGUUUCUUUCUGAAACUGAAAAGAUUUUGCAGAGUUGCUUUGAACCUUGAGCUAGUUAGGUCAAGUGGAAUUUCCCCAACUAAAGCCCUUGAGAAUUAGAGAAUGUAUCAUACCUGCAUGUCUAGGGUGAUUUGAGACAAGCCUGCCUUCUAGGCACCAGUCUGUACCUAACUCUUCUGAGCCCACGACUAUAUCGCCUUGUCCGUCUUUGCUACUGGAGAGAUUUCAAAUGGUGAGGUGACAGAUUUGCCUCUACUGAGUUGACGGAGACAUGCUAGGUGCAGGCUUCUAUUUUGUGUUUCGGAUUGGGGCUAGUUCAAGAGGUAGUGAGGGUUUGUCACAAAGUCCACAUUGAUUUAUCACUUCCGUGCCUAACGUUUGCUGAGGUUUUUAGAUUGGGGGGAUUCUAGCCCUCCUUGAAAAGCUAACGAAACUUAGGAAAUUCUUAUAAAAAAGCACAACAUUUUACGUUCAUUUUCAGUAGCUUCAUUGAAACCACUGGUCUGUGGCCCUCCUGUUCUGUUCUUUUGAGGGAUAUCACGAAAACCUGUCCACCAGAGAGCUUGCUAGCCCACGUUCUCAGAAGGUCAUGUCCUCCCAGCUGGGACCAUUAAGGUCCCGGGGACGCUGUGCUGAAACUGAGGAACAUGGUCCUUGCUCUCGUGGCUUCGGGAAACGGGCUAGGCAACACGUAGGGUUUAUUUUUGAGCGAGAGAGCGUGAGCAGGGGAGAAGCAGAGA